ensembl:misc_RNA
UGCCUGUGCCUUUCAAUGGGUGUGGUGCUAAGUAUAUCUUGUUUACCUUAUCUUUCUGUGGAAAAAGUUUUGAAGUCUGGUUGGGUUUGUCACAUCGUGCGUGUUGCCUAGCACCUACCAAAAGUGUCCUUAUCUAGCAGCCGGGGCUGAAUAGGUGGAGGUCGUGGCUUGGC